rnacentral:rRNA from 1 species
UACGGGGGGGGCAAGCGUUGUUCGGAAUUACUGGGCGUAAAGGGUUUGUAGGUGGCCCGCUAAGUCACACGUGAAAUCCCUCAGCUUAACUGGGGAACUGCGUGUGGGACUGGCAGGCUCGAGGGCAGGAGAGGAACGCGGAAUUCCAGGUGUAGCGGUGAAAUGCGUAGAUAUCUGGAGGAACACCGGUGGCGAAGGCGGCGUUCUGGACUGUCUCUGACACUGAAGAACGAAAGCCAGGGGAGCAAACGGG